AUGGAGUCCCUGUCCCAGCUUCUCUGUGGGCUCCUGAUGCUCCUGGUCCCAGGUUCCAGGGGAGAAAUUGUGCUGAGCCAGUCUCCAGCCUCAGUGUCUGUGACCCCAGGAGAGAGAGUUACCAUCAGCUGCAAGGCCAGUCAGAGUGUCAAAGACAGUAAUGGAAACACUUAUCUCUACUGGGUGCAACAGAAACCUGGACAAUCUCCUCGGAGACUCAUUUACUAUGUUUCCACCCUGGACCCAGGAGUCCCUGCCAGGUUCAGUGGCAGUGGUUCUGAGAAGGAUUUCACCCUCACCAUCACCAGUGUGGAGGCUGAAGAUGGGGCCUCUUAUUACUGUGGGCAAGGAAUUUCUUCUCCUCCCACAGUGCUACAGCCCCGAACACAGUGCUACAGCCCCAGUCCAGGCUGGCUGCUCAGGGAGGCUCAGCUGUCUCCUCUGCUUCCUCUUCUGCAGCAGCUGCUGGGCUGCCUGCUCAGGUGCCGUGCUCCUAAUUGUAAGAGUGCAAUCAGUUCUAGAUCCAUGAUCACUGAGUUGGACAGGGACGCCAAACUACACCUGGAAGACAAGUACACCACACCCUUGGGGGCUGGACGAUGUUUCUGCUUGUAG